rnacentral:rRNA from 1 species
CAGCAGCCACGGGAAUACGUAGGUGGCAAGCGUUGUCCGGAAUUAUUGGGCGUAAAGCGAGCGCAGGCGGUUAGAUAAGUCUGAAGUUAAAGGCUGUGGCUUAACCAUAGUACGCUUUGGAAACUGUUUAACUUGAGUGCAGAAGGGGAGAGUGGAAUUCCAUGUGUAGCGGUGAAAUGCGUAGAUAUAUGGAGGAACACCGGUGGCGAAAGCGGCUCUCUGGCUUGUAACUGACGCUGAGGCUCGAAAGCGUGGGGAGCAAACAGGAUUAGAUACCCCGGUAGUCCCUGUCUCUUAUACC